AUACGGAGGAUCCGAGCGUUAUCCGGAUUUAUUGGGUUUAAAGGGUGCGCAGGCGGGAGAUUAAGUCGGCGGUGGAAUUUUGCAGCUCAACUGGAAAAGGGGCUUCGAAACUGGUUUCCUUGAGUGUAGAUGAAGGAGGCGGAAUUUGUGGUGUAGCGGUGGAAUGCUUAGAUAUAAUACAGAACCCCGAUUGCGAAGGCAGCUUACCGGGCUGUAACUGACGCUCAGGCACGAAAGCGUGGGGAUCAAACAGGAUUAGAUACCCUGGUAGUCCACGCAGUAAACGAUGAAUACUAGCCGUUCGCGAUAUACAGUGAGUGGCACAGCGAAAGCGUUAAGUAUUCCACCUGGGGAGUACGUUCGCAAGAAUGAAACUCAAAUGAAUUGACGGGG
rnacentral:rRNA from 1 species